rnacentral:rRNA from 1 species
UACAGAGGUCCCAAGCGUUGUUCGGAUUCACUGGGCGUAAAGGGUGCGUAGGUGGUGGGGUAAGUCGGAUGUGAAAUCUCCGAGCUCAACUCGGAAAUGGCAUUGGAAACUACCCUGCUUGAGGGUCGGAGGGGGGACUGGAAUGCUUGGUGUAGCAGUGAAAUGCGUAGAUAUCAAGCGGAACACCAGUGGCGAAGGCGAGUCCCUGGACAACUCCUGACACUGAGGCACGAAAGCUAGGGGAGCAAACAGG